rnacentral:rRNA from 1 species
UACGUAGGGUGCAAGCGUUUAUCCGGAAUUAUUGGGCGUAAAGAGCUCGUAGGCGGUUUGUCACGUCUGCUGUGAAAACUGGAGGCUCAACCUCCAGCCUGCAGUGGGUACGGGCAGACUAGAGUGCGGUAGGGGAGAUUGGAAUUCCUGGUGUAGCGGUGGAAUGCGCAGAUAUCAGGAGGAACACCGAUGGCGAAGGCAGAUCUCUGGGCCGUAACUGACGCUGAGGAGCGAAAGCAUGGGGAGCGAACAG